rnacentral:rRNA from 1 species
UACAGAGGGGGCGAGGCGUUAUUCGGAAUUAUUGGGCGUAAAGGGCGCGUAGGCGGCUUCGCAAGUGGUGGGUGAAAUCCCUCGGCUUAACCGAGGAACUGCCCUCCAAACUGCGUUGCUUGAGUCCGGGAGAGGUGAGUGGAAUUCCCAGUGUAGCGGUGAAAUGCGUAGAUAUUGGGAGGAACACCAGUGGCGAAGGCGGCUCACUGGACCGGAACUGACGCUGAGGCGCG